rnacentral:rRNA from 1 species
GACGAACGCUGGCGGCGUGCUUAACACAUGCAAGUCGAACGAUGAAACCUAGCUUGCUAGGUCGAUUAGUGGCGAACGGGUGAGUAACACGUGACUAACCUGCCCCUUUCUCUGGGAUAACGCUCCGAAAGGAGUGCUAAUACCGGAUACUCACACCGAGGCACAUGCCUUGGUGUGGAAAGUUUUUCGGUAAGGGAUGGAGUCGCGGCCUAUCAGCUUGUCGGUGAGGUAACGGCUCACCAAGGCGACGACGGGUAGCCGGCCUGAGAGGGCGACCGGCCACACUGGGACUGAGACACGGCCCAGACUCCUACGGGAGGCAGCAGUGGGGAAUAUUGCACAAUGGGCGCAAGCCUGAUGCAGCGACGCCGCGUGAGGGAUGAAGGUCUUCGGAUUGUAAACCUCUUUCAGUAGGGACGAAGCGAAAGUGACGGUACCUAAAGAAGAAGCACCGGCUAACUACGUGCCAGCAGCCGCCGUAA